AUUUCCAGGCCUGCCCCUGAAUAUAGGAUGGAAAUCUGUGUGUGGCAGCCAAUCAAAAUCUGCCUCCUCGGAGCUGCUCAUGAAUUCAUCAGGGCCUGGUUACUCCACUGCCGCUGAGCCGUUCUCCUGAAUGUCUAAUGAGCAGCAAAUGUGAGGCUGAGGAUCAGGUGAAUGGCAUGUGUAAUCAACAGUCUUGUCAGGAGUUAGAAAAGAAGGAUUUACAUUGGCACAAUUGGCUCACCCCGACUCCUGAGAAAUGUGCUCUCACUGUCACAGCCCUGCUGAAUCCCACUCCUCACUGACACAAAUUGGACUUAAAAACCUUGAAAUAUGACUGAAACCCAAAGAUCAAAUAGUAAAGAAAAUCAUUUUGCUAUAGAGAGAUUAAAAUAAUUAGGUUUCCAACGGGUUUCUGUCUUUGUCCAGAGGUUCUGUUGGAUAAUCGCACAUCCCAUGAAUGGUAAUCUGCCUUUGAAAGGCUCAGAGCUCUUUGGCUGUGGCUUCUACUCAGCGCAGACAGAAUGUUUAAAACAUAGCGGGAGCCGUCCACGCUUUGAAACUCCAAUGCUACUGCUCCAGCCUGACGCAUUCUUCUUGUCAACUUCAAUUACGGGUCCUGACUAAACGACUGCGGGGAUGUGGAACUGGAAGAAAACCUAAUUAUUGAAAAAAAAAAACGUGUGCGAGUGAAAUGCACGUUUUUAACUGUGAAUCUAAACAAGUGAAUAUUCACACAGUAUCGUCAGUGAAACGAACACUGUCUGUCUCUGCAUCAUUCCUUACGUCAUCAUCUUCUCAUCCUUGAAUCAGUACAUAAUUAAAGGCACUCCCUGCUCAAAUCAAAUAUAUUCUACCAGCUAAACUCUGACGGAAACACGUGUUGAGAUUCAAUUGAUGACACACUUGAUUGGCUGCAAUGAGUAAAGAAGAUGACUUGUGAGAAGAGCCUUUACAGCAUCAGUAAUAUCUAAUUACUGACCCAAUCUCAGUUUUGGUAGAUUUUGGAUUUCCUCUAAUUGCUCUACACCCCCCUGCUUUAAGCGGUGUCUUUCUAAUUAGGUUACAUCACAUAGUGAAUGACUGGAGAAAAGUCUCCAGCAGGUAAAAUAUGUAAUUAUUCUCCACACAAGAUCUAUCCCUUUAAAAAAAUGUCUGACAAGUGACUCACUAAAAAGAGGUGAAGAGAUGUUAUUUGACAGGGGAGGACUUGAGAGUUUUACAUUUCCCAAGGAACAUGCUGUUAAAUUGUGCCUAACUACACAAUGUGCCGGUGUUAUUUCUGAUCCACUUAAAGGCAGCA